GAAACGCGAUAGUUAAUGUGAAUUGCAGAAUUCAGUGAAUCAUCGAGUCUUUGAACGCACAUUGCGCCCAUAGGUAUUCCUUUGGGCAUGUCUGUUUGAGCGUCAUUACAACCCUCAGCUAACCGCUGGUUUUGAACCUGACCGGGUGACACCGCGCCGGUUUUAAAGUUGUAAGCUCUGCUGGCCGCUCUGCCCAACCAGAACAUAGUAAGCACUACUUGUCCGGGUGAAGCUGAACGGUACGGCCUGAACAAAACCUACCCACUCUCAAGGUUUGACCUCAGAUCAGACAAGGAUACCCGCUGAACUUAAGC
rnacentral:misc_RNA from 1 species